rnacentral:rRNA from 1 species
UACGAAGGGGGCUAGCGUUGUUCGGAAUUACUGGGCGGAAAGCGGGCGCAGGCGGCUUCUCAAGUCAGGGGUGAAAGCCCAGAGCUCAACUCUGGAAUUGCCUUUGAGACUGAGUGGCUUGAGUACGAGAGAGGUGAGUGGAAUUCCCAGUGUAGAGGUGAAAUUCGUAGAUAUUGGGAAGAACACCGGUGGCGAAGGCGGCUCUCUGGAACGCAACUGACGCUGAGACGCGAAAGCGUGGGGAGCAAACAGG